AGUCAUGAGUUUAGGACCAUGCUAGUAGAAAUUGUGCUAUUGCCUCAGGUAGUUUUGACGUUACCCUUUAUGGGGCUAGUUUUGUUAAAAACAUUACCGCAUUAACGUUUUGGUUUCUGAACUUUGAUACUGGGUUUGUUUUGUGAUGCAUUAAAUUUUGUAUGACCUGUGCUGAGGAUUUUUUUUCCCCACAAAAUUACAACACAACUGACUGGUUAUUGAAUAUUUUUCUUCAUAGUUGUAAUUAGCAAAGGUGUUUUUCGCUUGGAGUCUAUGCAUAAAGGAGAGCCAGAUUAUCUGUUGCUUCCCAACGGACACGUAGAUUCAAAUCCUUGCUUAUGUUCUUGCAUAAUUGAUUCUGUAAGUUUUAUAGUUCAGCUCCUUCAUUAAAUGAGAGUAAUGAGUCAAAUUAUGUUUAUAAGUAACAAAAUAAAAAAUUAAUCUCAACUUCUUUUUUGUCAUCUAUUUGUAAAUUAAGAUAAAUAUUCAAUUAAACAGACAUUCAUCCCUAUGAAAACCGUAAAUUAAUAUUUUUAUAUUUAUCACUUUUAUAUU
rnacentral:misc_RNA from 1 species